UGGGGAAGAUGGGAGAGCUGGAGGAGAGUCGUGGGGUCCGAGGAGCACCUCGGCAUCUGGAGUCUGGCAGGAAUGUUGAAGGACUGAGGGGCUAGCUCAGGCAGAGCAAAGGCAUCGCAGAGGCUGGAAAACAUCCGGAGUGAGGCUGAAGGGCCUGAGCUAGGGUUGGAGAGGAAUGGGGAGCCAGACAUUCAUCCCGGUUACUUUUGGUUACAGGACGUGGCGGCUGGUCGGAUAAAGGGGAGCUGCUGGGAAGGGUUCGACCCCAGACCUGGGCAGUGAAGGUAUAGCUGGCAGCGGUGGGCAGGUGAGGACCGCCGUCUGCUGGGCAGGUGAGUCUCCUUCGUCUCUCUUGGCCUCGCUCCACUGACCUUCUAAACGAAGGUUUAGAGAGGGGGCCCGGUGAGAAGAAGCGGCUGGCCUCGCAGCAGAAUGGCACAUAGAAAGGCAGGACAGUUAGCAAAGGAGACAUCGUCUCGGGGGGAGCCGAGACAGAAGAAGGCUGGGGGACCAUUGGCCACCCCGGGUGGAAAGAGCACUUAGAGAAAAGAAAGAAGAGGUGCAGGGUUGCCAGUAAAGACUGAGGCCACUGCCUCCAGGGAGGUGAUAGGAGUCCUUGGAGACAGUGGCAGAGACCAUGGGAUCCAGCAAGAACAGAAGCAUUCUAGGCUGGGGUCAAACAGGGCACUGGCCUCCAGAGUCCGUGGCCAAGGAGGGCCUUGCGGGCGGCGACGGAGCAGUGAUCGGUGUCUCGAAGAGCUCGGACUGGAGACUAGGCCAGGUCUCCAGCAGAGGUGGAUGUGCCUGCCAGUCACUGAAGGCGAGGAUGACAGGUGUGGUCAACAUGACAGAAAGACAUGACAUGGUCCGGUGUGAUGGAGAGGACAGAAGGGCAGUCAUCCAGCCUUCCUGAACACCAUGGGCUGGCGCCGUGUC
rnacentral:lncRNA from 1 species